CGUGAACCAUCGUAAGACGCUCGUAAUGUUUCGUAAUGCCUCGCAAUUAUUCCAUAGUCCUUUAUAAACUCUAAUGUUAAAGUCAGUAAAAUGUGUUUCUGUUAACAUCGAGUUCUGCAGUCCAGAAAAUUUUUAAAUGAUUUCAGACUUUGUUACGUUUUUGUGUUUCUAAAAAUCGUGGAAAUGAAAUUUUCUUAUUCGUGACUCGUGAAAUCGAAAAAUGAUCUUCGUGAUUUCGUGACGAGACCCCCCCCCCCUUGCCCCCUUCCUAGCACUAAUGAUGAUCCCACUAAAUACAUAAAUAAUUCCCAAAUAUCAAGUUUCUAUAUGUCACCUGUCACAGAAGAAUAUGUUUGUCGACUAUCCUCUGGACUGAAUAAAGCUAAAUCAUCAUUAGAAAUCCCAAAUAAAAUGAUUACACUGGUAGCAGCUCCACAUCAGUACCCUUUACAAUUAUUUUCAAUCGAUCAUUUGCUACUGGUAUUGUUCCUGAUGCAUUUAAGGUAUCUAGAAUAACACCAGUUUAUAAGAAUGCAACAAUGACUGAUCCUAGCAAUGACAGACAAAUUGCAAUCCUG